AUCUUUCUAGUAUCAAACAAUACAAAUGACUUCCAAUCAUUUAUUCUUGGUUAGACCCCAAGGAAAGAUA
rnacentral:tRNA from 1 species